rnacentral:tRNA from 1 species
GCAUCAAUGGUGUAGUGGUAACAUUUCACUUUCCCAAGGUGGAGCCAGGGGUUCGAUUCCCCUUUGAUGCA